rnacentral:piRNA from 1 species
UGUCAGAGGACGACGUUUGCCCCUCCCC